rnacentral:rRNA from 1 species
UACGUAGGUGGCGAGCGUUGUCCGGAUUUACUGGGCGUAAAGAGCGCGCAGGCGGUCGUUCAAGUCGCGUGUGAAAGCCCCCGGCUCAACUGGGGAGGGUCACGCGAUACUGAUCGACUCGAAGGCAGGAGAGGGAAGUGGAAUUCCCGGUGUAGUGGUGAAAUGCGUAGAUAUCGGGAGGAACACCAGUGGCGAAGGCGACUUCCUGGCCUGUUCUUGACGCUGAGGCACGAAGGCCAGGGGAGCAAACGGG